rnacentral:pre_miRNA from 1 species
UAAUCUCAUGAGGUAACUCUGGAUAGGCCUAUUUCGGGGUACCUAGUGAGAUGCGA